rnacentral:rRNA from 1 species
UGAAGUGUGGACGCCAGUCUGCAUGGAGCCGGCCUUGAAAUACCACCCUUUAAUGUUUGAUGUUCUAACGUGGACCCGUGAUCCGGGUUGCGGACAGUGUCUGGUGGGUAGUUUGACUGGGGCGGUCUCCUCCUAAAGAGUAACGGAGGAGCACGAAGGUUGGCUAAUCCUGGUCGGACAUCAGGAGGUUAGUGCAAUGGCAUAAGCCAGCUUGACUGCGAGCGUGACGGCGCGAGCAGGUGCGAAAGCAGGUCAUAGUGAUCCGGUGGUUCUGAAUGGAAGGGCCAUCGCUCAACGGAUAAAAGGUACUCCGGGGAUAACAGGCUGAUACCGCCCAAGAGUUCAUAUCGACGGCGGUGUUUGGCACCUCGAUGUCGGCUCAUCACAUCCUGGGGCUGAAGUAGGUCCCAAGGGUAUGGCUGUUCGCCAUUUAAAGUGGUACGCGAGCUGGGUUUAGAACGUCGUGAGACAGUUCGGUCCCUAUCUGCCGUGGGCGCUGGAGAACUGAGGGGGGCUGCUCCUAGUACGAGAGGACCGGAGUGGACGCAUCACUGGUGUUCGGGUUGUCAUGCCAAUGGCACUGCCCGGUAGCUAAAUGCGGAAGAGAUAAGUGCUGAAAGCAUCUAAGCACGAAACUUGCCCCGAGAUGAGUUCUCCCUGAGACUUA